GCUAUUCUCAUUUCAUCUCGGAAUCAGAAUCGAAAUGAAAUUUCUCCUGAUCAAAUAGUUAGAAUGAGAGUCAUCUAUUUGGAUUACGAUUUCAGACCCUCGCUCCCCUCAACCAAACACCUUCGUAGGGUCCUCUGCCUCUUUGCUGCAAUAGAUGAAAACAUACGGUCUAUAAUGUCUGUACUCUGUAGACUUCCAGC
rnacentral:lncRNA from 1 species